CGCGUGUGCGAAGAAGGCCUUNNGGGUUNUAAAGCACUUUNUAAGGGGAUGAGGAAGGACAGUACCCUUAGAAUAAGCCUNGGCUAACUACGUGCCAGCAGCCGCGGUAACACGUAGGAGGCAAGCGUUAUUCGGAUUUACUGGGCGUAAAGCGCGUGCAGGCGGUUUGGUAAGUUGGAUGUGAAAGCUCCCGGCCUAACUGGGAGAGGUCGUUCAAUACUACCAGACUAGAGGAUGGGAGAGGGAGGUGGAAUUCCGGGUGUAGUGGUGAAAUGCGUAGAUAUCCGGAGGAACACCAGUGGCGAAAGCGGCCUCCUGGCCCAUNUCUGACGCUCAGACGCGAAAGCUAGGGUAGCAAACGGGAUUAGAGACCCCGGUAGUCCUAGCUGUAAACGAUGUGAACUUGGCGUCGGCGGGUUUAAAUCCGUCGGUGCCGAAGCUAACGCGAUAAGUUCACCGCCUGGGGACUACGGCCGCAAGGUUAAAACUCAAAGGAAUUGACGGGACCCCGCACAAGCAGCGGAGCGUGUGGUUUAAUUCGAUGCUACACGAAGAACCUUACCAGGGUUUGACAUGCAAGUGGUAGGAAUCCGAAAGGUGACCGACCCUUCGGGGAGCUUGCACAGGUGCUGCAUGGCUGUCGUCAGCUCGUGUCGUGAGAUGUUCGGUUAAGUCCGCUAACGAGCGCAACCCUCGUCGUGUGUUAUACGUGUCACACGAUACUGCCGGUAUCAAGCCGGAGGAAGGUGGGGAUGAUGUCAAGUCAGCAUGGCCUUUAUAUCCUGGGCUACACACACGCUACAAUGGCAGAUACAAUAGGUUGCGAAACCGCGAGGUGGAGCCAAUCCUCAAAGUCUGUCUCAGUUCAGAUUGUAGNNNGCAACUCGCCUGCAUGAAGUCGGAGUUGCUAGUAAACGCAGGUCAGCUAUACUGCGUUGAAUACGUUCCCGGGGNNGNUACACACCGCCCG
rnacentral:rRNA from 1 species